AUUGAACGCUGGCGGCAGGCCUAACACAUGCAAGUCGAGCGAGCGGCGGACGGGUGCGUAAUGUAUGGGGACUGCCCGAUAGAGGGGGAUAACUACUGGAAACGGUGGCUAAUACCGCAUACUAUCGGAUAACCCAUAUGGGAUUAGCUAGUAGGUGGGGUAAAGGCUCACCUAGGAGACUAUCUCUAGCUGGUCUGAGAGGAUGAUCAGCCACACGGGAACUGCGACACGGCCAAGACUCCUACGGAGGCAGUAGUGGGGAAUAUUGCACAAUGGGCGAAAGCCUGAUGCAGCCAUGCCGCGGGAGUGAAGAAGGCCUUAGGAUUGUAAAGUACUUUCAGCGGGGAGGCGUUACCAGCAGAAGAAGCAACGGCUAACUCCGUGCCAGCAGCCGCGGUAAUUC
rnacentral:rRNA from 1 species